rnacentral:rRNA from 1 species
AUUGAACGCUGGCGGCAGGCCUAACACAUGCAAGUCGAACGAGUGGCGGACGGGUGAGUAAUGUCUGGGAAACUGCCUGAUGGAGGGGGAUAACUACUGGAAACGGUAGCUAAUACCGCAUACCAUCGGAUGUGCCCAGAUGGGAUUAGCUAGUAGGUGGGGUAAAGGCUCACCUAGGCGACGAUCCCUAGCUGGUCUGAGAGGAUGACCAACCACCCUUGAACUGAGACCCGGUCCAGACUCCUUCGGUAGGCCGCAGUGGGGAAUCUUGCACAAUGGGCGCCAGCCUGAUGCCGCCAUGCCGCGUGUAUGAAGAAUGCCUUCGGGUUGUAAAGUACUUUCAGCGGGGAGGCGUUACCCGCAGAAGAAGCACCGGCUAACUCCGUGCCAGCAGCCGCGGUAAUAC